GCAGCUUUAAUCUAGCGGGAGGGGUAUACAAGCAAGGUAUAUAGUUACCACUAUUUUACCCCGGGAAGGUCUGAGAUUAAAUCAGCAAACGUUCUAGCCGGACGGUAUCAUAAGGGUACGUACGGGAACCAGAAAUAGCUUUACGUUAUCAAUUAGUCCAGGAAACUUCGUUUGAAGUAGAGGCGUUUGGGAACGAAAAGAUGGAAACCCGUAUGAUUCGCUAUUUGAGUACAAUCCGCAAGCCAGAAAAGUUGUUCUGGAACUCAAUUCAGACUAAUCUGAGGCUGC
rnacentral:RNase_P_RNA from 1 species